GUUCUUUCCUGUGCUGAGAUUACUAAGAGACUGGGUCUCACUCUGUUGCCCAAGCUGGAGAACAGUGGCACCAUCAUAGCUCACUGCAGCCUUCAACUUCUGGGCUCAAGUGCUUCUCCCACCUCAGCCUCCCAAGUAGCUGGGACAACAGGUGAAAUUGAAGGCCAGCUUUUGGAACUCAACCUUCAAAGGAACUUAAAAUUUCCAUUAUGUAGAGUCCCUGAGGAAACUGGAUCCACUAGCUACACUGGCUGAGAAUGCUCUCACCCCAGGAUUUCAUUUUUAUUUUACCACAUCAUUGUUGGUAUCUUAAGAUCAAUGUACUGGAGCAGCGGGGUCUCACAAAGAGGAUACCUGGUGACACGCCCAGGCUUUCAGAAUGCACUAUAGGGCUUUAGUGACUUGUCCAGGUUCAGCUGAAAUGUGCCAUCUGGGACCUACUAAUGCUUGUUGAACUUUACUGGAUCUCAGAAGCUGGGUCUCAGAAGCUCAGAUGUUCCUCAGAGCUACGAUAUCAACAACCUGUGAUGACAGAGAGAAGGUUGCUCCAUGAUGGAUUUGGAAACUUACUGGCUAGCUAAACCUGACUGAAUGGGAAGGAAUGUGGAUAGCUUUGGAACUCUAGUUUCACUAGAUGAGCUGGAAUUUGUAUUUUGACAAAUUGCACGUUAUGAUUAUUAAGUAAUGCAACUGAUUUUUUUUUCCCUUAAAACAAACAAUCUAGAAUCUGUGUAAUCAAAAUAAUUUCUCUAAAAGGCUGCAAGUAUAUGCUUAAAGUGUUGGGGCAUUCAGAGCAUUUGGAACAUUACAUUCUUUUGAAUGUCAAUUGGUAGAUGAAAAUACCAGCUUUUAAGUCAUACAUUUGAUUUUUUGAAACAAUAUGCAUUUAGAGUUUGUAAGUCAAGUGAAUAACUGAUAAGGUAAAAAAAAGGGGGAGUUCAUUGUUGAGUAUGAAUUUAAAGUAACCAGACUGCCUUUUGUCCAGUGGCUGUCAGUAAUUUACUUCAGCAGGCAUUUUUUUUUUUUUGAGGCUGUUCUAUGAUAUCAUGACCCUUCUUGUAGGAAUGUGCUUCCAGUGGUGAGGCAGUCUGAGAAUGUGUGAAGCAGUAUAAUGAAGCCAGACCAAGAUGGAAGCUUGGCCUGGGAUUUGAGCAUCAGGAAAACUGUUGAAGGGUUAUGUAUACAUCACACACACACACACACACACACACACACACACACACACACACACACUCUCUUCCAUACUCCUAUAACAACGUAUAGUAUUUACUAUACCUGGUGACAGGUAUUUACUAUACAUUGUUGAAGAUCUAUAACAUGGAAUGCCUAGUGCUAAGUGCAGUGUCCUUAGUGAAAUUGUAUUGGUUUGGAAUUAUUUAUGAGUUUGGGAUUAUUUGUCACUACCCUUAAAUGAUCUUGACACUCACCUAUUUGAAAAGAUAUUGAGGAUUUGCCAUUUGAUAUUGACCAGGGUGUAUUGUGCACAAAUAUUGUGAAUAUACAUCUGUCUGUCCUUAAAUCACUGUAAGUUUUAACUGGAAUAGAUUUGCUCCACAUUACUCGGUAGGGCUGAUAUUUCAUGCCUCAUGGAUGAGAAAAGAAUAGGCAAAAAUUAUAUCUCGGGCUGCCUCACACAUCUUUUAACAGGAUAAGGGAAAAAUAAAUAUAAGACCUAUGAGUUAUGGCAUCAGGCUUGAACUUUAAUUUAUGAAUUAAACCAACAAUAUUAUUGAUUAUUGCAAUUAUCUAUCUUAAUUUCAUUUGUUCUCCUUUUAAAAAUUAAUUAUGUUUAUUUUACCUAUUGUGAAUAAAGUCACUCCUCCCAUGUGCUUAUUUCUUGACUCUGGCACUAAUUAUUCUUCAGUGCCUAGAUUUCCUGGGACUGCUCAGUUUAAGUAACUUCUGAACAUUGGUCUCUGAGAGAAAAGACAGUGAAGUGGGAUCUGUGGAAAAACACAUCUGCAAAUGUCUCAUUUUUUUCUUCAGGGGUAAGUUUUCUUCCUUGGAGACUCUUGUCUUGAAAAAGUGAUACUAGAUCACCAUUUGGCAAGAUAAUUACAAAAGGCAGAUAGAGUAAUUAUUUUACAUAGCUGUUAUAGGGUGACUAAGAUCUCAGGGAAUGACUGUGUUCUGUAAUCCACUUGCCCCACUCAAUACCCCAAGUUUUAUACAAGCCAAAGAUGCUUGGAGCAGAAUCUGCUACCUGAGGCUCCAGGGCCUUGGCCUAGGGAAACUAAUACUUAACUUUUUAAGUGGUCAUUGAUGACAUCCCACUCCUUUCUGAGAUGGGUAUGAUUUGAAAGGCAGGUGUAUUCAUGGAGAGCAGGGCUUGGGACCUUUGCUGCAAGAGGAGGAACUAUUAGCCUAGACUUUUCUAAUAAGGACUUUCUCAUACCUGUUUCCUAGAUCUGGUCCACAUAGAAGAAAUCAGGGAACACACAGGGUAGGACUCUUAAAGGAGUAUGUUUCUUGGCUUUUUCCUAAAAACUAAAACAAAAACAUUCAUAGCAAAGCAGUUUAGCCCAGUGACUAAGAGUAUAGACAUUGGAAUCUGAAAGAUCUGGGUUGGAAUUCUGCUUCAGCCAUUUACUAAUUAUGUAACUUCACAUCUCUGAGAAUGGGGGAAAUUUUCUUUGCAGGGUUGUUACAAAGCUUAAAAGAGUUAAGUCAAGUGCCUGGAACAGAACAGCCAUUCAAUAAAUCAUAGAAAUUUUUGUUUUUACACAAAUUUUUAAAAAGUAAUAUUUUUUGCAUUUGUUAGAAAGACUAUAUUUUCUGUUUAGUGGAUGACAUCAUCAUCAUAAAAAUCACUGUUACAAGUUUUGUUUUGAGAAUUAAAAUCAUAUAUUAAUCCCAA
rnacentral:lncRNA from 1 species